AUAGCUCAAUUGGUAGAGUGCUUGCCUAGCAUGCACUGGGUUCAAUUCCCAGUGCCACAAAAAAAAGAAAAACAAAAAUCCCUUUCCUCUGACUUGUUUAGAGAAAAACCUAGAUCUCAACAUGACCAUUACCUAGAUAGAGAUCAGCAGAGAGAGAGUAAAGGACCCUUUGGGCAAAAGAGUUUAUGUGAGUCCAGGAUAUGACCACUUCAGAUAUCUCAUAACUUAGUGUUGAACCCAUGAUGCAAAGAAAAGACCACCAACUCUAAUUUUAAACCAAAUUAAAGUAAGCUUAUAUUGCGUACACAAGAGAUCUGGCCAGCAAAUACCUCACUGGAAAACCUGGGUAAAGGACAGCAACAGCUCUCAGGAA